rnacentral:rRNA from 1 species
GGGGCAGCCCUAAAUGCAGUCGAACGGAGACGGAGCUGGAAGGGACAGUUUACUGUAACGGAAAGAUCUGUCUUAGUGGCGGACGGGUGAGUAACGCGUGGGCAACCUGCCCUGUACCGGGGGAUAACACUUAGAAAUAGGUGCUAAUACCGCAUAAUAGGGAAUACCGCAUGGUAAUCCUUUGAAAACUCCGGUGGUACAGGAUGGGCCCGCGUCUGAUUAGCCAGUUGGCGGGGUAACGGCCCACCAAAGCGACGAUCAGCAGCCGGCCUGAGAGGGUGGACGGCCACACUGGGACUGAGACACGGCCCAGACUCCUACGGGAGGCAGCAGUGGGGAAUAUUGCACAAUGGGGGGAACCCUGAUGCAGCGACGCCGCGUGAGUGAAGAAGUAUUUCGGUAUGUAAAGCUCUGUCAGCAGGGAAGAAGAAAGACGGUACCUGACCAAGAAGCCCCGGCUAACUACGUGCCAGCAGCCGCGGUAAUACGUAGGGGGCAAGCGUUAUCCGGAUUUACUGGGUGUAAAGGGAGCGUAGACGGCAGGGCAAGUCUGGAGUGAAAGGCAGGGGCCCAACCCCUGGACUGCUCUGGAAACUGUCCGGCUGGAGUGCAGGAGAGGUAAGUGGAAUUCCUAGUGUAGCGGUGAAAUGCGUAGAUAUUAGGAGGAACACCAGUGGCGAAGGCGGCUUACUGGACUGUAACUGACGUUGAGGCUCGAAAGCGUGGGGAGCAAACAGGAUUAGAUACCCU